AAAGUUAUUUUGCGAUUGAUGUGGUUAUCGUUUUAUCGCCCUAAUUUCACUGCAGGUUUCUUGUUGCUCUCUGACCUGCAGGUGGAGAACUCUGCUGUCAGUCGACGAUCUGGUGGAGAAAAUAGUCAAGAGGUUGGAGGUCAGAGCCGAACUGGACAACACGUACAUCUUCUUCACCUCCGACAACGGCUACCACACAGGUCAGUUCUCUCUUCCUCUGGAUAAGAGGCAGCUCUACGAGUUUGAUAUCAAAGUUCCUCUCAUGGUCAGAGGACCGAACAUCAAACCCAACCAGACCAGCCAGAUGCUGGUGGCGAACGUCGACCUCGGUCCGACCAUCCUCGACAUCGCCGGCUACAACGUCAACAAGACGCAGAUGGACGGCAUGUCCUUCCUGCCGG